rnacentral:rRNA from 1 species
AAAUUGAAGAGUUUGAUCAUGGCUCAGAUUGAACGCUGGCGGCAGGCCUAACACAUGCAAGUCGAACGGUAACAGGAAACAGCUUGCUGUUUCGCUGACGAGUGGCGGACGGGUGAGUAAUGUCUGGGAAACUGCCUGAUGGAGGGGGAUAACUACUGGAAACGGUAGCUAAUACCGCAUAAUGUCGCAAGACUAAAGAG